rnacentral:rRNA from 1 species
AGUAGCCGCGGUAAUUCCAGCUCCAAUAGCGUAUAUUAAAGUUGUUGCAGUUAAAAAGCUCGUAGUUGAAUUUCGGGAUCAAAUUGUCGGUCGUGCUUCGGUACGAACUGGUAUUAUUGGUUCCUACCUUCUGACGAACCAUGAUGUCAUUAAUUUGGUGUCUUGGGGAAUCAGGACUGUUACUUUGAAAAAUUAGAGUGUUUAAAGCGGGCUCACGCUUGAAUACAUUAGCAUGGAAUAACGAAAUAGGACGUUUGAUUCUAUUUUGUUGGUUUCUAGGAUCGACGUAAUGAUUAAUAGGGAUAGUUGGGGGCAUUAGUAUUCAAUUGUCAGAGGUGAAAUUCUUGGAUUUAUUGAAGACUAACUACUGCGAAAGCAUUUGCCAAGGAUGUUUUCAUUAAUCAAGAACGAAAGUUAGGGGAUCGAAGACGAUCAGAUACCGUCGUAGUCUUAACCAUAAACUAUGCCGACUAGGGAUCGGAUGAUGUUAAUUUUUAAUGACUCAUUCGGCGCCUUACGG